GAGGCUGGCUUACUGAGAACGGACUCCCGGAGAGACUCGGGAGCUGUGUGACUCUGCUGGCUCGGCACUAGCCUUCGCCGAAGGAACCUAAGGAGCUCUGCAGUUUGGAGGACCGGACCGACGGCGGCGUCGCGCCCCGGUGACGUCAGACCGAGGAAGCUGGCGGCCCCGGCUGUGAGUUCAGGGAUCUGGUCUACGAUUCCGGCUGCCUCCUCCCGUUGGCCGCAGAAGCUCUAGUGCUGUGCUCGAGCCAGAGAGAGGACAAGUCUUCAAAAUCCAGUAUGAGUUUUACACUCACUGCACAUCUCAAUUCAGAGGAGCCACAUUUGCAGUACUGAAUAGCCACAUGUGACUAGUGGCUCCUGUAUUGAACAGCACAGCUCUGGGAUAUCAAAGGUAAACAAAACUCAAAUUCUCUGAUCUCAUGGGGAUUAAUACUGUGGAAAGACACCAGAAAGUAAACUGAAAAAUGACAGAAUUUAAUAAAUGCUAGGAAACAAAUGACUCAUAAAGAGAAUAGCAUGGGUUUUAUUGAAGACCUUGAAAGACUAGCGAGCUGGGAGUGGGGUGGGGAGGAUUGUUAGGAAACAAGUUUUAUUAAGUGCAAAGGCAGGUCAUCUGAUUUAUAUUUUGGGGUCACUGCUACUGCUAAACAUUUAUCUUAGUCAGGCCUCUAUGCUAAGUGCAAGGAAAAUGGGAAUACGCAGUUAAAUGAAGUGCACCUGACUAUGUAUGGCCUUUGGAAUCAGGGAGAGACCUGGUUUUAAAUCCCACCUCAGCUCUUUACUAACUGUGCUGUCUUGAUAAAAUUACUUAAAUACUGAGUCUCAAUUCCCUCAUCUGUCAAGUUUUAUUUUAAUCACUAUUAACAAAUAUAUAUAAUUCUGUAGGGUUGUGAGUACUGAAAAUCAUAUAUAUUUCAAAGAACUAGCACAGUACCUGGUCACAAGGCAGACACUACAUGCAUAGUAGCUAUUGUCAAAUAAGCUACCUGUUAAUGUUUAGCAUGAAAAGGUUAUUCUUUAAGCUAUGUAAUUAUCAUCCCUGCUUUCAGACUCAAAAAAAGUCCUUUUCCAUUAUUCAAGACUACAUAUAACAUAGCCCAUACUACCCUUCUUGCUCAUUAACAUCUGUUUCCCCCUUUUUCUUCUGUUUUCUUUUUUUUUAAUCCUCACCCGAGUUAUUGUUUACUGAUUUUACAGAGACGGGAAGAGGAGGGAGGGAACAUCCAUUUGUGAGAGAAACAUGGGUCGGUUGCCUCCUAUAUGCACACCCACUGAGGAUUGAACCCACAACCUAGGUAUGUGCCCUGUCAGGGAAUCAAACCAGCAUCCUCUCUGUUCACUGGACGACACCCCAACCAACUGUCAUCCCUCUGUUUAUGACUAUCUUUGUGUCUAAAUUGCCCCUUUAAAAAUUUUUAAAAAUUGAUUUUUAGAGAGAGAGAGAAUAUCCAUUUUUUGUUCCACUUAUUAAUGCAUUCAUUGGUUGAUUCUUGUUUAUGCCCUGACCAAGAAUCAAACCAGUGACCUCUUGGUGCAUGGAACGUCACUCAACCAAUUGAGCCAUACCGGCCAGGGCCAAAUUACCCCUUUUUAUAAGAACAUCAGUCAUAUUGGGUUAGAGCCCACCCUAAGGGCUUCAUUAACUUGAUCAUCUUCAAAGACACUAUUUCCAAAUAAGGUCACAUCACAGGUGCUGGGAUUAGGACUUCAACAUCUUUUGGGGGUACAAAAUUCAACCUAUAUCUAUCAUUAUCUGAAAUCAUUCAUUUGUUUAUAUUUCUCAAAUUCUCUCCUCUAGAAUAUAAGCUAUGAGAACAGUUCACCAAUGUAUCCUCCCAGACCUAGAAGAGUGAUUGGUA